rnacentral:rRNA from 1 species
UACGUAGGGGGCUAGCGUUGUCCGGAAUCAUUGGGCGUAAAGAGCGUGUAGGCGGUCCGGUAAGUCCGCUGUGAAAGUCGGGGGCUCAACCCUCGAAUGCCGGUGGAUACUGUCGGGCUAGAGUGCGGAAGAGGCGAGUGGAAUUCCUGGUGUAGCGGUGAAAUGCGCAGAUAUCAGGAGGAACAUCUAUUGCGAAGGCAGCUCGCUGGGACGUUACUGACGCUGAGACGCGAAAGCGUGGGGAGCAAACAGG